CUCCUUGUAGUUCAAUGGAUAGAACAACCCCGUCCUAAGGGGUAAAUGUAGGUUCGAUUCCUACCAAGGGGA
rnacentral:tRNA from 1 species